GAGGGUAUAGCUCAGUGGUAGAGCACAUACUUAGUAUGCACCAGGUCCUGAGUUCAAUCCCCAGUACUUCCA
rnacentral:tRNA from 1 species